UAGAUAGAAUUCGUCGGUGGAUAA
rnacentral:miRNA from 1 species